rnacentral:rRNA from 3 species
CCUGGCGGCAAUAGCGCGGUGGUCCCACCUGACCCCAUGCCGAACUCAGAAGUGAAACGCCGUAGCGCCGAUGGUAGUGUGGGGUCUCCCCAUGCGAGAGUAGGGAACUGCCAGGC